UGCUACAGGCUUAACACAUGCAAGUCGAGGGGCAGCAUGGUCUUAGCUUGCUAAGGCCGAUGGCGACCGGCGCACGGGUGAGUAACACGUAUCCAACCUGCCGUCUACUCUUGGACAGCCUUCUGAAGGGAAGAUUAAUACAAGAUGGCAUCAUGAGUCCGCAUGUUCACAUGAUUAAAGGUAUUCCGGUAGACGAUGGGGAUGCGUUCCAUUAGAUAGUAGGCGGGGUAACGGCCCACCUAGUCUUCGAUGGAUAGGGGUUCUGAGAGGAAGGUCCCCCACAUUGGAACUGAGACACGGUCCAAACUCCUACGGGAGGCAGCAGUGAGGAAUAUUGGUCAAUGGGCGAGAGCCUGAACCAGCCAAGUAGCGUGAAGGAUGACUGCCCUAUGGGUUGUAAACUUCUUUUAUAAAGGAAUAAAGUCGGGUAUGGAUACCCGUUUGCAUGUACUUUAUGAAUAAGGAUCGGCUAACUCCGUGCCAGCAGCCGCGGUAAUACGGAGGAUCCGAGCGUUAUCCGGAUUUAUUGGGUUUAAAGGGAGCGUAGAUGGAUGUUUAAGUCAGUUGUGAAAGUUUGCGGCUCAACCGUAAAAUUGCAGUUGAUACUGGAUAUCUUGAGUGCAGUUGAGGCAGGCGGAAUUCGUGGUGUAGCGGUGAAAUGCUUAGAUAUCACGAGGAACUCCGAUUGCGAAGGCAGCCUGCUAAGCUGCAACUGACAUUGAGGCUCGAAAGUGUGGGUAUCAAACAGGAUUAGAUACCCUGGUAGUCCACACGGUAAACGAUGAAUACUCGCUGUUUGCGAUAUACAGCAAGCGGCCAAGCGAAAGCGUUAAGUAUUCCACCUGGGGAGUACGCCGGCAACGGUGAAACUCAAAGGAAUUGACGGGGGCCCGCACAAGCGGAGGAACAUGUGGUUUAAUUCGAUGAUACGCGAGGAACCUUACCCGGGCUUAAAUUGCAGAUGAAUUACGGUGAAAGCCGUAAGCCGCAAGGCAUCUGUGAAGGUGCUGCAUGGUUGUCGUCAGCUCGUGCCGUGAGGUGUCGGCUUAAGUGCCAUAACGAGCGCAACCCUUGUUGUCAGUUACUAACAGGUUCCGCUGAGGACUCUGACAAGACUGCCAUCGUAAGAUGUGAGGAAGGUGGGGAUGACGUCAAAUCAGCACGGCCCUUACGUCCGGGGCUACACACGUGUUACAAUGGGGGGUACAGAGGGCCGCUACCACGCGAGUGGAUGCCAAUCCCCAAAACCUCUCUCAGUUCGGACUGGAGUCUGCAACUCGACUCCACGAAGCUGGAUUCGCUAGUAAUCGCGCAUCAGCCACGGCGCGGUGAAUACGUUCCCGGGCCUUGUACACACCGCCCGUCAAGCCAUGGGAGCCGGGGGUACCUGAAGUGCGUAACCGCGAGGAGCGCCCUAGGGUAAAACUGGUGACUGGGGCU
rnacentral:rRNA from 1 species